UACGAAGGGUGCAAGCGUUAAUCGGAAUUACUGGGCGUAAAGCGUGCGUAGGCGGUUUCUUAAGUCUGCUGUGAAAGCCCCGGGCUCAACCUGGGAAUGGCGGUGGAUACUGAGAAGCUGGAGUACGGUAGAGGAAGGUGGAAUUCCCGGUGUAGCGGUGAAAUGCGUAGAGAUCGGGAGGAACAUCAGUGGCGAAGGCGGCUGCCUGGCCCAAUACUGACACUCAGGUGCGACAGCGUGGGGAGCAAACAGG
rnacentral:rRNA from 1 species